rnacentral:rRNA from 1 species
UACGUAGGGUGCGAGCGUUAAUCGGAAUUACUGGGCGUAAAGCGUGCGCAGGCGGUAAUGCAAGACAGAUGUGAAAUCCCCGGGCUUAACCUGGGAACUGCAUUUGUGACUGCAUUGCUGGAGUGCGGCAGAGGGGGAUGGAAUUCCGCGUGUAGCAGUGAAAUGCGUAGAUAUGCGGAGGAACACCGAUGGCGAAGGCAAUCCCCUGGGCCUGCACUGACGCUCAUGCACGAAAGCGUGGGGAGCAAACAGGA